rnacentral:rRNA from 1 species
UUGUGAAAGCCUUCUGCUUAACGGAAGAACAGCAUCUGAUACUGCAAGGCUAGAGUGCGGAAGGGGAGAGUGGAACUUCUGGUGGAGCGGUGAAAUGCGUAGAUAUCAGAAGGAACACCGGCGGCGAAGGCGACUCUCUGGUCCGUAACUGACGCUGAGUGUGCGAAAGCUAGGGGAGCAAACGGGGUUAGAUACCCCGGUAGUCCUAGCCGUAAACGAUGGGCACUAAGUAGAGGG